GAGUUACUAGUAAAAUAUUACAUAACUUUGUCAAAGUUAAGUUACAAGUGAAAAUCUUGUGUAUCUCU
rnacentral:tRNA from 1 species